rnacentral:rRNA from 1 species
UACAGAGGUCUCAAGCGUUGUUCGGAUUCAUUGGGCGUAAAGGGUGCGUAGGUGGCGGGGUUAGUCAGGUGUGAAAUCUCGGAGCUCAACUCCGAAACUGCACUUGAUACUGCCUUGCUAGAGUACUGGAGAGGAGAUUGGAAUUUACGGUGUAGCAGUGAAAUGCGUAGAUAUCGUAAGGAAGACCAGUGGCGAAGGCGAAUCUCUGGACAGUUACUGACACUGAGCACGAAGGCCAGGGGAGCAAACGGG